rnacentral:lncRNA from 1 species
CAACACUUUCCAACAGGCACUCAAAUCAGAGAAUCUCUCCACGCAAUUUUUUGUUGCAUGUGAAUUCUGUAAUUGCACGGGAUCCAGUCACUUUUAUCCAGGCCGCUCGUUCUAUAUGCCAAGUAGAGAUGGUUGGUGAAAGACCUUACAUCGUGUUAGUCAAAGAAAAAGAGAAAUCAAAAGACAAAGAGAAGGAUAAGGAUAAGGACAGAGCUGACAAAGAGAAAUCUCAGACUUCUAAUGAAGUUGCAACUACCACUCCCCCUGGGAGCACCAAGGCUAAAGUUUACCGGAAACCUCCUCAGUCGUUCAUUGGUGUUGUUGAGCUGCUUCUGGAUUCUCUCUGUAAUUUCGUUCCUCCUCCAAAAGAUGACAUGGUUGAAGGUGAUUCUACUUCAGCAGACAUGGAUAUUGAUCAUGCCUCUACUAAGGGAAAAGGCAAAGCGGUUGCUACUACACCUGAAGAAAAGAAAGCUAUUUCACAGGACAUGUCAGCUUCAUUGGCUAAAAUUGUUUUCAUUCUGAAGCUUUUGAGCGAGAUACUGUUCAUGUAUUCUUCGUCAAUCCAUAUAAUACUUCGAAGAGAUGCUGAAAUUAACAGUCUUAGAGGUCCUCAACAGAAGGGGGGUCAAGUUGGUGGAAUAUUUCAUCAUAUUCUUCACAAGUUUAUUCCAUACUCACGGGUGAAGAAGGAAAAGAAAUCUGAGAGUGAUUGGCGGCAAAAGCUGGCAAGUAGGGCUAAUCAGUUUUUAGUGGGUGCAUCUGUUAGAUCAGCUGAAGCAAGGAAGAGGAUAUUUUCUGACAUUAGCAGUAUCUUCAAUGACUUCGUAGGUACCUCCAAUGGGCUUAGACCUCCAGUUAAUGAAAUACACAUUUUGAUAGAUUUGUUGAGUGAUAUGCUCUCUGCUCGGUCACCUACUGGAUCACAUAUAUCUUCAGAAGCUUCAAAUACUUUUGUUGAUGUUGGACUGGUUAAGUCUCUUACUCGUACACUUGAAGUGUUGGACUUGGACAACGUAGAAUCUCCCAAAACUGUAACAGGAAUCAUAAAAGUUUUGGAGUUGGUGACUAAGGAGCAUGCCCAUUCUGCUGAUUCGAACUCGAAGAAUGAAAAUGCGAACAAGUCAUCUGAUCAAAUUCAAUCAGGAGGAGGAGCAACAUGUACGAAGCUUUUGCAGAUGAAAGAACCCCUUGCUUUUCCCGUUAGAGACUUGCUUGUAUUGAUUUGCUCAGAAAACAAUGGAGAACACCGAUCUGGUGGUAUAUGUUGCAUUCUUAGCCGGAUUAAGGAUUGUUGUCCUGUCUUCGAUGACACAAAGAACAAUCUGCUCUCUGCUCUGUUGCAUGUUCUUGCUUUGAUUCUCCAUGAAGACGCAGGUUCCCGCGAAGUUGCGCUGAAGGCGGGUACUGUAAGACUUGUGUGCGAUGUACUCUCAAAGUGGGAUUCUGGUAGUAUUGAUAAGGAAAAGUUUAAUGUUCCAAAGUGGGUGACGACAGGGUUUCUUGCCAUUGAUAGGCUGCUACAAGUGGACCAGAAAUUAAAUACUGAGCUUAUAGAGGAGUUGCAAAAAGGUGAGACAUCUCUGGCCAUUGAUGAGAGCAAACAAGACAAGCUGCAAUCUGUUUUUGGCUCUCCACAGCUUGUUGAUGCUGACGAUCAGAAGAAGUUGAUUGAGAUUGCUUGUACAUGUAUCCGGAAUCAGCUUCCUUCUGAAACUAUGCAUGCUGUUUUACAACUGUGUUCUACAUUGACAAGGAAGCAUUCUGUUGCUGUCUGCUUUCUUGAUUUUGGAGGUGUGCAAGGACUGCUUUCUCUGCCGAGUAAUAGUCUUUUUCCAGGGUUUGACUCAGUUGCUGCUAGUAUCAUCCGUCAUAUUCUUGAAGACCCCCAAACGCUUCAGCAAGCCAUGGAAUCUGAGAUAAAACAUGCUCUUGCAACACUUUCCAACAGGCACUCAAAUCAGAGAAUCUCUCCACGCAAUUUUUUGUUGCAUGUGAAUUCUGUAAUUGCACGGGAUCCAGUCACUUUUAUCCAGGCCGCUCGUUCUAUAUGCCAAGUAGAGAUGGUUGGUGAAAGACCUUACAUCGUGUUAGUCAAAGAAAAAGAGAAAUCAAAAGACAAAGAGAAGGAUAAGGAUAAGGACAGAGCUGACAAAGAGAAAUCUCAGACUUCUAAUGAAGUUGCAACUACCACUCCCCCUGGGAGCACCAAGGCUAAAGUUUACCGGAAACCUCCUCAGUCGUUCAUUGGUGUUGUUGAGCUGCUUCUGGAUUCUCUCUGUAAUUUCGUUCCUCCUCCAAAAGAUGACAUGGUUGAAGGUGAUUCUACUUCAGCAGACAUGGAUAUUGAUCAUGCCUCUACUAAGGGAAAAGGCAAAGCGGUUGCUACUACACCUGAAGAAAAGAAAGCUAUUUCACAGGACAUGUCAGCUUCAUUGGCUAAAAUUGUUUUCAUUCUGAAGCUUUUGAGCGAGAUACUGUUCAUGUAUUCUUCGUCAAUCCAUAUAAUACUUCGAAGAGAUGCUGAAAUUAACAGUCUUAGAGGUCCUCAACAGAAGGGUGGUCAAGUUGGUGGAAUAUUUCAUCAUAUUCUUCACAAGUUUAUUCCAUACUCACGGGUGAAGAAGGAAAAGAAAUCUGAGAGUGAUUGGCGGCAAAAGCUGGCAAGUAGGGCUAAUCAGUUUUUAGUGGGUGCAUCUGUUAGAUCAGCUGAAGCAAGGAAGAGGAUAUUUUCUGACAUUAGCAGUAUCUUCAAUGACUUCAUAGGUACCUCCAAUGGGCUUAGACCUCCAGCUAAUGAAAUACACAUUUUGAUAGAUUUGUUGAGUGAUAUGCUCUCUGCUCGGUCACCUACUGGAUCACAUAUAUCUUCAGAAGCUUCGAAUACUUUUGUUGAUGUUGGAUUGGUUAAGUCUCUUACUCGUACUCUUGAAGUGUUGGACUUGGACAACGUAGAAUCUCCCAAAACUGUAACAGGAAUCAUAAAAGUUUUGGAGUUGGUGACUAAGGAGCAUGCCCAUUCUGCUGAUUCGAACUCGAAGAAUGAAAAUGCGAACAAGUCAUCUGAUCAAAUUCAAUCAGGAAGAGGAGAUACUACUGCUGAUGCUUCUGAAGCAGGGGGAAUUUUGCUGCGGUCGAAUCAUGAUUCCAUGACAGCUGAUCAUGCGGAGAAUUUUGGCGGUUCCCACACUUUUGUUGGUUCAGAAGAUGUAACAGAUGACAUGGAGCAUGAUCAAGACUUGGAUGAAGAAUUUGCCGCAGGUGGGGAUGAUUAUAUGCAAGAAGAGCCUGAGGAUGCUAGGGGGUUGGAAAACGGGAUUGGGUCGAUGGGUAUAGAGUUUGAGAUGCAUACCCACGUGCCGGAAAAUCUUGAUGAAGAGGAAGACGAAGAGAUGUCUGGUGAUGAGGGUGACGAAAUAGAUGAGGAUGAAAACGAUAAUGAAGAAGAAGACGAGGAGGACAAUGACUUGGAAGAAGAAGAAGAAGAAGAUGUACAUCACCUGCCUCAUCAUGACACAGAUCAAGAUGAUCAUGAGCUUGAGGAUGAUGAAUUUGAAGAGGAAAUACUGGUUGAAGAGGAUGAAGAGGACGAAGAUGAUGAAGAUCGGGUAAUUCUCAGGUUUGAGGAUGGAUUCAAUGGGCUAAACGUUCUUGAUCAUUUGGAGGUUCUUAGAGAUCAUAGAUUUUCCGAUGAAACACUUCAUGUAAUGCCUGUUGAAGUGUUUGGCUCGAGACGUCAAGGACGAACAACUUCUAUUUACAGCCUUCUUGGCAGAACUGGGGAUGGUGCUACUCCUUCACAGCAUCCUCUUUUAUCGGGAUCUCCAUCACUUCCAGCGUCGCAAAGUCAAACAGGUACUCUUUUGUUUUUACUUGUGUUCAUUUCCCUUUAUGUUAUGUUUUAUUUGGGUUUGCUACCAGAUUACAUUUUGUUUGUGUUGAUCUUCCUAAAGGAAUAAUUUGUUAAUCGACCGUUUUCUUCUCUUUGUAGAAAGCACACAUGAUCAUACUGUUGGAGGUAGGGAUUCCAACGGUAGUUCUUCGUCACGGCUGGAUGCUAUAUUCCGAUCUUUGAGGAAUGGCCGGCAGGGGCAUCGUUUGAAUUUAUGGGCUGAUGACAGCCAGCAAAUUGUUGGAUCUGGCGCUUCUACCGUACCACAAGGCCUUGAAGAUUUGCUGGUAUCUCAGUUGAGACGUCCCGGCUCUGAUAAUCCUUCUGCUGAUCAGAAUCCAUCACCUUUGGAACCCCAGUCACAGGCCGAGAGUGGGCAGCCACAGGAGGCAACUGUCAGACCUGAAAUUCCAGAUGAAAACGCCACUGAUAAUGGAGGUGCCAAUGUGUCUGCUCCCUCUAUCGUUUCGCCAGUUGCAUCUGCUACCCCGGAUACACGAGCCCCUGCUACUGAUUCUGUCUCAAGCUCGCGGUCUCAGUCAGUCGAAAUGCAAUAUGAUCCAAAUGAUUCAACUGUUCGGGAUGUUGAAGCGGUGAGUCAAGAAAGCGGUGGGAGUGGGGCAACCUUGGGUGAAAGCCUUAGGAGUUUGGAUGUUGAGAUCGGAAGUGCUGAUGGACAUGAUUAUGGUGGAGAAAGGCAUGAUGUACAGCCAGCUAUACGCUCAAGAAGAGCAAAUUUGUCACUUGCGCCAUCUUCAACUGGGCGAGAAGCUUCUCUUUAUAGUGUAACUGAGGUUCCUGAGAACUCCGGUCACGAGGCUGAGCAGGAUAAUCCACCAGAGGAGCAACCAGUUAACAGGAAUGUUGCUUCUAGUUCUAUUGAUCCUGCAUUUUUAGAUGCCCUACCUGAGGGACUGCGAGCUGAAGUCCUUUCAGCUCAGCAAGGUCAAGCGCCAGAACCUUCUAGCAAUGAACAGCAGAAUUCUGGAGAUAUUGAUCCGGAGUUUCUUGCUGCACUUCCUGCUGAUAUACGAGCUGAAGUUCUGGCACAGCAACAAGCACAACGGGUUCAUCAGUCUCAUGAACUUGAAGGUCAGCCUGUCGAGAUGGACACCGUUUCAAUAAUUGCAACGUUUCCUUCGGAGUUGCGAGAAGAGGUAUUGAGUUGUUGCCUUUUAACGGCAUGACCAUGAGUUGAGUUGAAGUUUAUUCAUCUAAUAUUACUUUUGUUAUCAGGUGUUGCUGACGUCAGAUGAUGCCGUUCUUGCAAAUUUAACACCUGCACUGGUUGCGGAAGCAAACAUGUUGCGUGAAAGGUUUGCUCAUCGAUACCAUAACCGUGCACUUUUUGGUAUGCAUCCAAGACAUCGUAGAGGGGAGGCAUCCAGGCGAGGUGAAGGUGUCAUAUCUGGAAAUGAGGGGAUUGCUUCUCGUAGGUCUGCUGCAAAGGUUAUAGAGGCCGCUGGAGCUCCCCUAGUUAACACUGAGGCACUCCAAGCAAUGAUUCGUGUUCUUCGGAUAGUUCAGGUAGUUACCUAAUGCAUUACUUAGAUAUUUAACUGACAUCACUUGGACAAUUCAUUUAUAUAUCUUUGGUCUGCAGCCUCUUUACAAGGGUCCUCUGCAGAGGCUUUUGCUGAAUUUAUGUUCUCAUGGCGAAACAAGGUUUUCCUUGGUUAAUACAUUCAUGGAUAUGCUGAUGCUCGACACAAGGAAGCCUGUUAACUACUCGAGUGUUUCCGAACCACCUUAUCGUCUUUAUGCUUGUCAAAGCAAUGUAACAUAUUCACGUCCUCAGCACUUUGAUGGUAUGCAUCUAUUAAUACAUUGGAUUCUGACUGGGGAUGUGUUUAUAAUAACCAAGUUCUGUAGAUAAUAGUUGUAAUUCUAUUUGCAGGGGUUCCUCCUCUAGUGUCUCGGCGUGUCCUUGAGACUUUGACAUAUUUGGCACGAAAUCAUAUAUACGUAGCAAAGAUUCUGCUUCAAUCCAGGCUUUCCCUGCCUUCCCUUCAAGGUUCAGUACCCUCAGACAAGGCACGUGGAAAAGCUGUUGUAGUAAGUGAUGAUCACAUGAGCAGAACGCAGCAGGAACCCGAAUCUGUAGCCUUUGCGUUGCUUCUAAGCCUCCUGAAUCAGCCCCUUUAUUUGAGAAGUGUGGCUCAUCUUGAACAGGUACUCCUUUUCAUUCGGUGCUAUGGUUUGGCUUUGUUUACUGUUAUGAAAAUUAACUCGGGUUUGUAUGUAUUUUCUCAUCAUUUGUUCCAGCUGCUGAACUUACUGGAGGUCAUCAUUGACAACGCUGAACGAAAGUCUGAGUCAGCUGACGGAUCAGAUGGGCCUGCCACCGAGCAGCAAUCAACGCAUCAAGCGUUAGAAGUUGAAAACAAUUCAGAAAACCACGAUAUGGUAUCUGGCACUGCUGGUACAGUGACCAAGCCAAUUGUCUCAUCUGGAAGUUCGUCCAACAGAGCAGAGAGUGAAUGUGAUGUUCAUACUGUGUUGCUUAAUCUUCCCCAGUCAGAGCUGUGUCUGCUUUGUUCAUUACUUGCACGUGAAGGGUAUGUCAGAUGCUUAUAUGUGAACACCUCCUACUUUCUGUUCUUUCUAUCUGUCAGUUAAUGCUUAAAUUCUGUAAGUUCUACAACUAGCCUUACUAAUUGUUGUGCUGUUGAUUCAGUUUGUCAGAUAAUGCAUACACCCUUGUAGCGGAGGUGCUGAAAAAACUUGUGGCCAUUGCUCCAAGCCAUUGUCAUUUGUUUAUCACAGAGCUUGCAAACGCAAUACAGAACCUGACAAGAUCAGCGAUCAGUGAACUUCACAUGUUCGGUGAAGCCGUAAAAACGCUUCUAAGUACCACGUCAUCAGAUGGAUCAGGAGUAUUGAGGGUUUUGCAGGCAUUAAGCUCCCUCGUUGAUUCGUUGUUAAUCACAAAAGAGAAGAAUUCCGAAGAGCAUGUUGCUGUGUUUUCUCAGCUAUCGAACAUCAAUUUAGCUUUGGAACCUCUGUGGCUGGAGUUGAGCAAUUGCAUAUGCAAAAUUGAGGGGCAUUCUGAUUCUGCUUCUGUUACUACGACGUCUCCAACAACCUCGAUGAGUUCAGCAACAACAAGGGGAGCUGGAGUAAGCCAGUCACUUCCUGCUGGUGCCCAAAACAUGUUGCCUUAUGUAGAGUCGUUUUUUGUUACCUGUGAGAAAUUGCAUCCAUCAUCACAGUCUUGUGAUAUCUCGGUUCCCAUGGCUUCUUCUGAUGCUGAGGAGCAGCCCAAGGGUCCAGGACCAAGCAGCAGCUCCAAGGUGGAUGAGAAAUACGGUUCUUUUAUCAAGUUUUCUGAAAGGCACAGGAAACUUCUUAAUGCUUUCAUCCGACAAAAUCCUGCCCUGCUUGAGAAGUCCUUUUCGCUAAUGCUCAAGGUUCCACGUUUUAUUGAAUUUGAUAACAAACGUGCAUACUUCAGAUCAAAGAUAAAACACCAGCAUGACCAUCACCAUAGCCCUUUGAGAAUCUCAGUGAGAAGAGCCUACAUUCUUGAAGAUUCAUACAACCAAUUGCGAAUGAGGUCAACACAAGAACUGAAAGGUAGAUUGACUGUUCACUUCCAAGGAGAAGAAGGUAUUGAUGCUGGUGGGCUUACCAGGGAAUGGUAUCAGCUGUUGUCAAGGGUUAUUUUUGACAAAGGAGCUCUUCUGUUCACAACCGUUGGCAAUGACUCGACUUUCCAACCGAAUCCAAACUCUGUUUACCAGACAGAGCACCUCUCCUACUUCAAAUUCGUUGGCCGGGUGGUAAGCUCCUUUUUCUUUUUUUUCUUUUUACCUAAGUAAGUAGCUGCGUUAAUUCCUUCCUAAAUUCUAUCUAUCCCGCCUGCACAGGUUGGAAAAGCUCUGUUUGAUGGUCAACUACUUGACGUCCAUUUCACUCGCUCUUUUUACAAGCAUAUCUUGGGAGUUAAGGUCACGUACCAUGAUAUUGAAGCUAUAGAUCCCGAUUACUAUAAAGCCCUGAAAUGGAUGCUGGAGGUAUAUAUAUACUGUAGAUACACCUUUGUUUGUUUGUUUCUUUGGUCCAAAGCAUUUGUUACUCAUCUGUUGUUUUUUCUAAAAUGCAGAAUGAUAUUAGCGAUGUCCUAGAUCUCACUUUUAGCGUUGAUGCUGAUGAGGAAAAGCUAAUACUGUAUGAAAAAACGGAGGUAACAACUAUAACUUGUUCAGCCUUUUUUAACUGUGUCUUUGAAAUGAAAUUUGUUUGAACGAACAUUAAAAAAAAACAAUUGCAGGUGACUGACCAUGAACUGAUCCCUGGAGGGCGGAACAUUAAAGUUACUGAGGAGAAUAAGCAUGAAUAUGUAGACCUAAUCGCCGAGCAUCGAUUAACCACAGCCAUUCGUCCUCAGAUAAAUGCAUUCCUGGAAGGGUUUAGUGAACUUAUCCUUAAAGAUCUAAUAUCGAUUUUUAACGACAAGGAACUGGAGUUAUUAAUAAGUGGUCUUCCUGAUAUCGACUGUAAGUAGUAGUUAUAUAUAUCAUAAUCCUCCUGUGCCAAGAAUUUUAUUGCCUCUGACCUUUUUUUUGUUGGGUUAUUAUGUAUCAGUGGAUAACCUGAGGGCGAAUACUGAAUAUUCUGGGUAUAGUCCUGGAUCCCCUGUUAUCCAGUGGUUCUGGGAGGUUGUUCAGGGAUUGAGCAAAGAAGACAAAGCCCGUCUAUUGCAGUUUGUGACUGGAACCUCUAAGGUAAAGAAAACAUGUUUGGUUUGUUUCAUUAAGAUAAGAUUUUUUUUUUUUUCAAAGUGGGAAACUGACGUUUUGAACUCAACAACACAAGGUACCUCUGGAAGGAUUUAGUUCCCUUCAAGGAAUUUCAGGGGCACAGAAGUUUCAGAUCCACAAGGCAUAUGGAAGCGCUGAUCACUUGCCGUCUGCUCAUACCUGGUAAAAAAAAAUCUCAAUCCUCCAAUGAAACUAUUAUCUGAUGGAUGAUGGAUGACCACAAAUAUUAAUAUAUAUCCAAAACUGUUUUGUUUGCAGUUUCAAUCAGUUAGAUCUGCCAGAGUACCCGUCUAAGGAGCAUCUGCAGGAGAGGCUGCUGCUUGCAAUCCAUGAAGCAAGCGAAGGAUUCGGAUUUGGUUAAAACAAAAACCAGCGUCCUUUUUUUCUUGCUAUUUCAUUGUAUACAUAUGCCUUUUGGGCUAAACGAAUGAUUUUCUGUAAUUCUCACUCUCUACUCUAACGUCCGUUUAAAAGAGUAUGUUCAAUAGUUAUUUUUAUCCCUUAGUUUGCAGAGAAAUAACCACUUCUCUAUUAGAAAGCACUUCCACCCUUUAUUGGAUGCUCUUCAUUAAGCAAGCUGUUUUGUUUAGUUGACAAUCCAAACAUUAGUUGUUUUUUUUUUUUUGUCAACUAGUUGUUGUUUUUUAACACUGAAAAUUUCAGGUUCAAAAAGACAACAUAGUGUUUCCUUGAUGAAAUACAAUAAUCCACCGAUAAAUGAUAUAAAUAACUCAAAUAAGCAUCCCAAAUAAAAGUUGCAAGAAAAAAACUGAGUGGUCGAAAUCAACACACCGAUUAAAUGUGACCAAGAAGCUAUGCAGCAGAGAUUCAAACACCCACUUUUUUACUUAGGAAAAGUGGUGCCAAGAUGGACCCCAAGAAGCAAUAGACCCCAAGAAGAAAUGGACGAGGCCAACACAUACCUCCCACAGCUACUACAUAUGACUGAAACUGAUGAUCUGGUGAUACUUUUUGCAAUAUCAUGACCACCUUGAACGGAAACAGAGCAUCUUCGAACCAACAAAUAGAAAAUGAUACAAUCUCGAACCAAAAACGAAAAAUGAAACGGUAUACAACCUAAAUGUGUUCAGAUAUUAAUGAUAUCAUUUAACCAACUUUUGCUUAGGUAAUCUAAUUGGAUGAUAAUUUUUUUUCUUUACUCGAACUAGGUCUAAAAAGUAAUUAUAUAAUCAAGUAAUACAAGUUGCCGAAGAACCACACAAAAAAAUUUAUAUUAAUUAAUUGUGGAGAACUAUAAAAUGUUUGAAUUCUUUAAUUUUUUAAACAAUUAUGUAUUUAUAAACUAUAGAAAAUAAAAUGUUUGAAUUCUUUAUGCAUUUUCAACAUUGUGCAAGGGCUCCUAGCUUUUAACUGAACAAAAAAAACGGACAAACAACUUUCCUUUGUUCCUUGGGUGGAAAAUUUGGAAAAUGAGUAACAAGCAAUGCAGCUUGCUUGGAUCAGAAGGUGUGGACAGAGGCGGUAACUCAAAAUAACCAGCAAAUCCUAGCUGCUCAUGCCUACAAACCAAUUCCAUCCAUGAGGUAUUACUCCCUGGAACUUUGUAACAGUCUUGUGGAUACUUCCUGGAAAAGACCAACUGAUAUGUGUGGCAUUGGAUGGUCCUUAUUCAGUAAAGAAGACAUUUCUCAUAUCUAAGGAAACUAUGCAUUCAUUCCUAUAAACUCACCAUUGAUAGCAAACCACAACUCUUUUAUCAGCAGUUCAACAGUUGAUCAGUUAUCCUACAUGAAGAGUGCUUUUCUUAGGAAAUUGCAGCAAUCAGCAGCAGAAGGCAAGAAGCUCGAUAUAAUUGAGGCAACACCUGUACUUCAGGACAUCUACGAGCUAUCAAAGGAUAAUAAUUUCACUUUCUUUUAUAUAAGCAGAAAUUGUACUCGAUAUGUAGAUCAACUUGCUAAGAAGGCCAUGAUUGGUCGUCAGAAUUAUGUAAUAUCCUGAGUGUUUUAAACAAUCUUCUUGUACUUACCUAUUAAUGGAAGAAAAAGUUGAAAAAGGAUUUGUUAUUGUCCAUGUUUAUAUAUUAUUAUUUAAACAAAUCCUACAUAAUGUUAUUCAGACUUAUUCUUUGAAAAAGGGGGAAAAUAAUUAAAACUAAAAUGGCACGUAAUUUCUAGUUAAGCCCCAUAACCACUCCGGCACGGCAAAAUGCUGUCUGUGACUUGUGACGGUCUCUCACUAUACAAUUAAUUUAAGCCCAAACUCUAAUAUAUGGGUUACAUUAAGCACAAUCGAUCUCUCUCUCUCUCUCUCCCUUUUUCUGGGGUUUUCUUCUCUCCUUCUACUGCGUUCGUUUUCGUCUUUUUUUUACAAAAGAAGUUCAGAAUCAGUUUUGGUUCUGUUUUUUAUUUGGUUUUGAUUUGAUAGCAUGGUUAGACCCAAAAAUGAUCAGAUGAAUUUUAUUCGCUGUGUCUAGAUUGAUCGAAUAUAUAUAGAGCAUGUAAUAUUUUUUUUUUAAUGAAAAUUGAUCGAAUAUAAAAAUACUCAAAAAGAAGAUAUUGUUACCAAAAAAGGGUGAGGAUAUUAUAGUAAUUUGAAUUGCAUUCAAAUGAUUAAAGGAUCUUGGUUUGGGGAUUCAAAUUCAAACGACAUUUUCGUAUUAGGUAACAAGAUGGAGAAGAUCUGUGUAGCAGUCAGGGUGAGGCCGCCGACGCCGGAAUCAUCAUCAUCGGAGAACGGAUCUUCUCUCUGGAAAGUCGAAGACAAUCGCAUCUCUCUUCACAAGUCACUCGACACCCCAAUCUCAACCGCUUCUUACGCUUUCGGUACCAAAUCUUUCUCAAUCCAUUUAUUCUGGGUUUCCAUUUCUACGUAUCUGGGUACCUUCAAAAUCUCAUCUUUAUAAUCUCUGUGGUGUUUGUUCUUUUGCAGACCAUGUGUUCGACGAAAGGUCUACGAACGCAUGCGUCUACGAACUUCUUACCAAGGAUAUCAUUCAUGCCGCCGUCGAGGGUUUUAACGGUAUUCAGAUCUGAUCCUAACCUUAAUAACAAAAAACGCGAGGUUAAUUUUUAGUUCACUUUCUUGAUGUAUGGUUUUGUUCAGGUACUGCGUUUGCUUAUGGGCAAACUAGUAGUGGAAAGACGUUUACAAUGACGGGUUCUGAGACUGAUCCAGGGAUUAUUCGAAGAUCUGUCAGAGAUGUGUUUGAUAGAAUACAAAUGGUAGGUCUAAGAUCAAUUGAAUGAUUCGGUGAGGUUUUAUAACUAAAGAGUUCAGUUUUUAACUUGUGUGUGUGUUGAUGAUCUUUAGAUAUCGGACCGUGAGUUUCUCAUCCGGGUUUCGUACAUGGAGAUUUAUAAUGAAGAAAUUAAUGAUCUUUUAGCUGUUGAGAACCAGAGACUGCAAAUUCAUGAACAUUUGGAGGUUGGUUUGAUGGAACGUCUACACAAGUGAUGUUACAUCAUUUAGUUUUGCUCAAGUGUUACUAAACCGGUUUGCUUGUCUUUGAUGUGCAGCGUGGAGUGUUUGUUGCUGGUCUUAAGGAAGAGAUUGUUAGUGACGCUGAACAGAUUCUAAAGCUUUUAGACUCUGGAGAAGGUUUUUAAGCCAAAGCUAAGCUAAGAAGUAUUUUGAUUAUGCAUAAUAAUGUGUAUUGACAUGGUCUUCUUUAAUUAACAGUUAAUAGGCACUUUGGCGAGACAAACAUGAACGUUCAUAGUAGCAGGUCCCAUACCGUCCUUUUUUUCUUGCUAUUUCAUUGUAUACAUAUGCCUUUUGGGCUAAACGAAUGAUUUUCUGUAAUUCUCACUCUCUACUCUAACGUCCGUUUAAAAGAGUAUGUUCAAUAGUUAUUUUUAUCCCUUAGUUUGCAGAGAAAUUAGUGAUAAUUUUACCAUCUUCCAAAAGUUUCUUGUGGAGGCUACAUUUAAAUGAUAAUUCUCUUACUGGUGUUCUUUUAAUGGAAUCUAGAAUUUGGUUGACCUGGCUGGAUCUGAGCGUAUUGCUAAAACCGGUGCUGGUGGAGUGCGCUUGACAGAAGGGAAGUACAUUAAUAAGAGCUUAAUGAUUCUUGGUAAUGUUAUCAAUAAGCUAAGUGAAAGUUCAAAGCUAAGGUACUUUCUUACCCUUUCAUUUAGCUACACGUACCAACGAUACAGCUCAGCUCAUUUCUUACAUUCUUGAUUAUAGAGCACAUAUUCCUUACCGAGACAGUAAGCUAACUAGAAUUCUUCAGCCUGCACUUGGUGGUAAUGCCAAGACUUGCAUUAUAUGCACUAUCGCACCAGAAGAGGUAAAAGAAGUUUUCUUUUUGUCAGGUUUUGCAUUUUCCUGGCUUUUGUUAAUCAUGCACACGAAAGAUUAGUCAAUUAAUGAGUAAUAGUUGAAUGCUCAUGUGUGUAGCAUCAUAUUGAGGAAUCAAAAGGAACUCUCCAAUUUGCAAGCAGAGCCAAACGCAUCACCAACUGUGCUCAAAUUAAUGAGGUCAGCAUGUCAAUGAGCGCAAGAUUCUUGGGAGAGAUUUAACUCACUUUCUUCUUUGUGUCCUGUUGAUUUGUUUUUCUUCUUCUUCUUUAUUGAAUAUCUGACAGUGUUUCAAUGCUUCAGAUCUUGACUGAUGCUGCUUUGUUGAAACGCCAAAAAUUAGAGAUAGAAGAACUAAGGAUGAAGCUUCAGGUAUAGUCAACAUUUAUUUCAAAUACAUCUAGGCAUGGGGACGACACUAACAUUACUAAAUUUUGUAGGGAUCCCAUGCUGAGGUGUUGGAACAAGAGAUAUUAAAGUUAAGCAAUCAGAUGCUUAAGGUAGUUUUUUUUUUGCAUUUUUCUCUUGUGUAUGUAUUCUAUAGAACAUUGAGCAGACACAGUAUACUAAACAUCUACCCUUUUGUUUGAUUUCCAGUAUGAGUUAGAAUGUGAAAGGCUAAAAACACAACUGGAAGAAGAGAGAGGAAAACAGAAGGAGCAGGAGCAAUGCAUCAAGGAGCAACAGUUAAAAAUUGAGAACUUAAACAAUCUUGUCACUAAUUCAGACUUUAAGAAGAACCAGUCAGAGGUACAUAUGCAUUCAUUGGCUCAGAUAGAUUUUCUGAAUAAUGCCUCAACCAUAACACCCAGACAUUUUUUUCUGAGAAACAGGCUUUAAUUUGCAAACUCCUAACUUCUUAUUGAUUGUGUUAGAGAAGUUAAUUAUUGCUUUUAUGCUAAUAUGUUGGACUCAUGUAGUUUGGUUAUGUAAAGCUUUUGUUAAUGUAACAUCUCUAUUGGCAGGACUUUAUUAGUUUAAGAAGGACUCAAGUUGGGCGAUGCAAUGUCAAUGAUAGCAGCGGUUUUCCUGGGACUCCUUGCUUCGAAUCAGCUGAACCUUCCUUUGUGGUUGCUCGGUCGAAGUACUCAGGACUAUCUGAUUUUAGUCCAAUGGUUGAUUCACUGGGGGACGUGGCCGAUGAAGACACUUGGACAAAACUAAACAAGGGUUUUGUCCCAGACCUUGAUCAACUCCAGUUUACACCUGCAAUUAAAAGGCAACCCACUCCAUUAAUUGCUGCAACCACGGUUAGUAGAUACAAAUACUUGACCCAUGUUAUCUUCCAAUAGUAACAGAGUUGCAAUGAAUAGAGACACGUGGAUGCAUAUGGUCUCUUUAUUCGCUCCCCUUUUCAUAUCAGCAUGCACACAAACACUCUGGUGCAUCAAUACUGGCUGGUAUCUAGCUCAUGUAUACUGAGAAUUACUAAAUUUUGAAACUUCAUAUAGAUGAAUACCGAAUACGCAUACAUUAUCCAAAACACGUUCCUAAGCUGGCCAUAAUUUUUCGUUAACUUUGUUUUAGGAAUGCUCGCGUGAAAAUCAGAAAGUGGUGGAAGAUCUCAAAAGUCAGAUUGAGUUGCUGACCAGUGAAAAGGACAGCCUGCAGGUUAGACAUAUUGGCUUUAUUGGUUGUUCAAGUGAAUAUGCUUUAGCCUUUAGCCAUAAAAUGAAUAUUCUGUUAAAAAUUAAAUGAAUGAUACCAGCUGAUUGUUUAUGCAUCAACUAUGCAUUCUCAGGUAAAAUUCAGCGAACAAGUAGUACUGAACAACAAACUUUUGGGAGAGAUAUCUGAGCUCAAAGAAGGAACGCUUCACAUGAAAGAAAUUCCAAAACUGUUAUCUGAGUCGGUUGCUAAUUGCAAGGAUGUAUACAAGGACGUGAUAGUCACAAUGAAGGUGAACAGCUUACCUUUUCUUAUGUGAAUGAUCAUCACUAAAAGGAAAAUUGAGUUUAAAGUCUUUUGUCUUGCAUUUUGUCAGACCUUAAUGGCUGAGAAAGAAUCUCCGACAGCAAAGCUACUCUUUGGUGUAACUGGAAUCUCAACAAGCCUUCUUUCAACUCUAGAAUCACAAUUCUCAAUGAUAAUGGAUGGUCAGAAAGCGGGUAGCAUCGUAGAUUAUCCUUUAUAUGAUCAAUGGGAAACACUUCGUGUUAGUCUGAAGAACACAGCCACAAGCCUGCUGUUAGACGCACAAGCAAAAGAUGAAAUUCUUAACUCCCACGACAAGGUAGAUUCCUUGUCACAAUCAUCAAGAUACGGAUCAAUUUUGCUUAUUGUUUCUUUCGUUUUGCUUUUAUACUUUUGUCUCUCUUUUUAUACUUUUGUCUCUCUUGUUAGGACUUAGUCCAGUGAAACCUCUGCAUACGUUUCUUAAGGGUUUGGAUCAUAACUUAUAUACUUUCCUGUUUCUUGUACAUUUACAUCUCAUUGGAGCUUCACUUGAAUCUCUAUAUACCAAUGUUUCAAUGGGAAAAGCAGGAACUGAUUCUUGUUUAGUUGAUUAGAUCUUGUGGUCAGAUUACUAUAUCUAAGACAGGUUUUGAAUGUGAAUUUUUAAGGGACAAGAAGCGGGUGCAAUGGAGGAGAAGCUGAAGUCUGAGCUCAGCAUAGUCAAGGAAAGAUAUAACGAGCUGGAGAAAGAGUUGUCUUUGGAUAAACUGCUUCUAAAAGCUUCAAGAGAGAGCCAUGAGAGGCUGGAAAAGGAAGUACAAUUCCUGAAGGAAGAAAGAGAUUCAUUAGAUGUAGCAGUCUCUCAAUCAACUCAGAGGUUGAGAGUGAUUGCAUCUGAUAAAGAGAAUGCUUUGAAAGAUCUUAAUGUGGAAGUGAAGAGAAGGAAAGAGAUGGAGGAAGAGAUUAAGCAAAUCAGCGUCUUUGAUGUGCAGCGUGGAGUGUUUGUUGCUGGUCUUAAGGAAGAGAUUGUUAGUGACGCUGAACAGAUUCUAAAGCUUUUAGACUCUGGAGAAGGUUUUUAAGCCAAAGCUAAGCUAAGAAGUAUUUUGAUUAUGCAUAAUAAUGUGUACUGACAUGGUCUUCUUUAAUUAACAGUUAAUAGGCACUUUGGCGAGACAAACAUGAACGUUCAUAGUAGCAGGUCCCAUACCAUCUUCAGAAUGGUAAGGGUUUUCAAAUCUAUGUACGGAAACUUCUACUGUUUUGUAAGUGAUUAUUUUGAUCUGAUCUCUCUGGUGGGAUAGGUGAUUGAGAGCAGGGGAAAAGAAAACUCUUCUACGGAUGCUAUCCGUGUCUCAGUCUUGGUGAGUGAUAAUUUUACCAUCUUCCAAAAGUUUCUUGUGGAGGCUACAUUUAAAUGAUAAUUCUCUUACUGGUGUUCUUUUAAUGGAAUCUAGAAUUUGGUUGACCUGGCUGGAUCUGAGCGUAUUGCUAAAACCGGUGCUGGUGGAGUGCGCUUGACAGAAGGGAAGUACAUUAAUAAGAGCUUAAUGAUUCUUGGUAAUGUUAUCAAUAAGCUAAGUGAAAGUUCAAAGCUAAGGUACUUUCUUACCCUUUCAUUUAGCUACACGUACCAACGAUACAGCUCAGCUCAUUUCUUACAUUCUUGAUUAUAGAGCACAUAUUCCUUACCGAGACAGUAAGCUAACUAGAAUUCUUCAGCCUGCACUUGGUGGUAAUGCCAAGACUUGCAUUAUAUGCACUAUCGCACCAGAAGAGGUAAAAGAAGUUUUCUUUUUGUCAGGUUUUGCAUUUUCCUGGCUUUUGUUAAUCAUGCACACGAAAGAUUAGUCAAUUAAUGAGUAAUAGUUGAAUGCUCAUGUGUGUAGCAUCAUAUUGAGGAAUCAAAAGGAACUCUCCAAUUUGCAAGCAGAGCCAAACGCAUCACCAACUGUGCUCAAAUUAAUGAGGUCAGCCUGUCAAUGAGCGCAAGAUUCUUGGGAGAGAUUUAACUCACUUUCUUCUUUGUGUCCUGUUGAUUGGUUUUUCUUCUUCUUCUUUAUUGAAUAUCUGACAGUGUUUCAAUGCUUCAGAUCUUGACUGAUGCUGCUUUGUUGAAACGCCAAAAAUUAGAGAUAGAAGAACUAAGGAUGAAGCUUCAGGUAUAGUCAACUUUUAUUUCAAAUACAUCUAGGCAUGGGGACGACACUAACAUUACUAAAUUUUGUAGGGAUCCCAUGCUGAGGUGUUGGAACAAGAGAUAUUAAAGUUAAGCAAUCAGAUGCUUAAGGUAGUUUUUUUUUUGCAUUUUUCUCUUGUGUAUGUAUUCUAUAGAACAUUGAGCAGACACAGUAUACUAAACAUCUACCCUUUUGUUUGAUUUCCAGUAUGAGUUAGAAUGUGAAAGGCUAAAAACACAACUGGAAGAAGAGAGAGGAAAACAGAAGGAGCAGGAGCAAUGCAUCAAGGAGCAACAGUUAAAAAUUGAGAACUUAAACAAUCUUGUCACUAAUUCAGACUUUAAGAAGAACCAGUCAGAGGUACAUAUGCAUUCAUUGGCUCAGAUAGAUUUUCUGAAUAAUGCCUCAACCAUAACACCCAGACAUUUUUUUCUGAGAAACAGGCUUUAAUUUGCAAACUCCUAACUUCUUAUUGAUUGUGUUAGAGAAGUUAAUUAUUGCUUUUAUGCUAAUAUGUUGGACUCAUGUAGUUUGGUUAUGUAAAGCUUUUGUUAAUGUAACAUCUCUAUUGGCAGGACUUUAUUAGUUUAAGAAGGACUCAAGUUGGGCGAUGCAAUGUCAAUGAUAGCAGCGGUUUUCCUGGGACUCCUUGCUUCGAAUCAGCUGAACCUUCCUUUGUGGUUGCUCGGUCGAAGUACUCAGGACUAUCUGAUUUUAGUCCAAUGGUUGAUUCACUGGGGGACGUGGCCGAUGAAGACACUUGGACAAAACUAAACAAGGGUUUUGUCCCAGACCUUGAUCAACUCCAGUUUACACCUGCAAUUAAAAGACAACCCACUCCAUUAAUUGCUGCAACCACGGUUAGUAGAUACAAAUACUUGACCCAUGUUAUCUUCCAAUAGUAACAGAGUUGCAAUGAAUAGAGACACGUGGAUGCAUAUGGUCUCUUUAUUCGCUCCCCUUUUCAUAUCAGCAUGCACACAAACACUCUGGUGCAUCAAUACUGGCUGGUAUCUAGCUCAUGUAUACUGAGAAUUACUAAAUUUUGAAACUUCAUAUAGAUGAAUACCGAAUACGCAUACAUUAUCCAAAACACGUUCCUAAGCUGGCCAUAAUUUUUCGUUAACUUUGUUUUAGGAAUGCUCGCGUGAAAAUCAGAAAGUGGUGGAAGAUCUCAAAAGUCAGAUUGAGUUGCUGACCAGUGAAAAGGACAGCCUGCAGGUUAGACAUAUUGGCUUUAUUGGUUGUUCAAGUGAAUAUGCUUUAGCCUUUAGCCAUAAAAUGAAUAUUCUGUUAAAAAUUAAAUGAAUGAUACCAGCUGAUUGUUUAUGCAUCAACUAUGCAUUCUCAGGUAAAAUUCAGCGAACAAGUAGUACUGAACAACAAACUUUUGGGAGAGAUAUCUGAGCUCAAAGAAGGAACGCUUCACAUGAAAGAAAUUCCAAAACUGUUAUCUGAGUCGGUUGCUAAUUGCAAGGAUGUAUACAAGGACGUGAUAGUCACAAUGAAGGUGAACAGCUUACCUUUUCUUAUGUGAAUGAUCAUCACUAAAAGGAAAAUUGAGUUUAAAGUCUUUUGUCUUGCAUUUUGUCAGACCUUAAUGGCUGAGAAAGAAUCUCCGACAGCAAAGCUAUUCUUUGGUGUAACUGGAAUCACAACAAGCCUUCUUUCAACUCUAGAAUCACAAUUCUCAAUGAUAUUGGAUGGUCAGAAAGCGGGUAGCAUCAUAGAUCAUCCUUUAUAUGAUCAAUGGGAAACACUUCGUGUUAGUCUGAAGAACACAGCCUCAAGCCUGCUGUUAGACGCACAAGCAAAAGAUGAAAUUCUUAACUCCCACGACAAGGUAGAUUCCUUGUCACAAUCAUCAAGAUACGGAUCAAUUUUGCUUAUUGUUUCUUUCGUUUUGCUUUUAUACUUUUGUCUCUCUUGUUAGGACUUAGUCCAGUGAAACCUCUGCAUACAUUUCUUAAGGGUUUGGAUCAUAACUUAUAUAUUUUCCUGUUUCUUGUACAUUUACAUCUCAUUGGAGCUUCACUUGAAUCUCUGUAUACCAAUGUUUCAAUGGGAAAAGCAGGAACUGAUUCUUGUUUAGUUGAUUAGAUCUUGUGGUCAGAUUACUAUAUCUAAGACAGGUUUUGAAUGUGAAUUUUUAAGGGACAAGAAGCGGGUGCAAUGGAGGAGAAGCUGAAGUCUGAGCUCAGCAUAGUCAAGGAAAGAUAUAACGAGCUGGAGAAAGAGUUGUCUUUGGAUAAACUGCUUCUAAAAGCUUCAAGAGAGAGCCAUGAGAGGCUGGAAAAGGAAGUACAAUUCCUGAAGGAAGAAAGAGAUUCAUUAGAUGUAGCAGUCUCUCAAUCAACUCAGAGGUUGAGAGUGAUUGCAUCUGAUAAAGAGAAUGCUUUGAAAGAUCUUAAUGUGGAAGUGAAGAGAAGGAAAGAGAUGGAGGAAGAGAUUAAGCAAAUCAGCUUUGCUUUCUCUAGCAGGCAGAAGUCUCUUAUGUCUUUUCACAAUGAAAUCAAAUCCAAAAUGCAGAAACUAACAACGCAGAAUCCGAAAUUGAAGUAGCAGAAACAGCUGUUUGUGUUAAAGUUUAUGCCAUUGUUACAACUAGCUCAUGUGUUAUUUAUGUAACAACUCAUUACUGGUACUCCAAUAUUAUCUAAAACUAAAGUUCGGCUUUGAUAGUACUAUAAUGAGACAUUUAAAACGAUAGUCGAUUGUUCAACACGGAAAACAUGAAUCAAUUUUUUCUUUUACAUGUUUUUUUCUUUAAUUCGGUAGCAUUUUUUUUUUUUUAAACUAGGAGUACUGUAAUUGGAGUCGCGGCAAUAAUAAUCCACGAGUACGGUUUCAACAUAUCUUUGUCUGUGACAUUUAUAUGCCAAGGGUUUGCGGAGACCAUUGGUACGUUUGCCUUUGUCCUAAACUGGUUCCUAAGAGGUGUGACUACGAAUAUUGGCAUGGUUAAAAAUUUCAGAACUAGGAGUACUGUAAUUGGAGUCGCGGCAAUGAUAAUCCAAUGGUAUAUCGGAAAACUAGUCUAUAUCUACGGAGAGAAAUCUAGUGACCUAACGAUGACGAAUAUGGAAUACUAAAUAUAUAUUGAAUAAUUAAAAGUCAGUAACUAUUACAUAUAUAAUUAAAUUGGUGCGAACGUAUACAUCAAUUUUAUUAAUCCAAACAAUUUUUUUAAAAAAUUUGAUAGGAUAUGUAAUUAAAUUUAAAUGAUAUUAACAUAUAUAGUAUAUUUUUAAUAUUAAUGUCUAUAUUUUUUUUUUAAAUGAUGCUUUCUACUCAUAUAUAUACUUUAUCCACAUUAGGCAAUUCCGUAAUCUUUAUUUAAGGAAAUAAUAAAUGACAUUAAUAAUGAAUUUAUGGUUAGUUUAAUAAAAAGUUUAUUAUAUAAUUAGAUGGACCAACCUAUUUCUCUAGUAAUUCUAAGAAUCAUCCUAGUGAUGACAUGUGACUACAAAAAGAAGUUGUAAUGUUUCACAAAUAAUAUAUAUGAGAUUUUGUAAUUAUAUUAACCACGAGUAUGGCUCCCUUCACUUGCAUCAACAUGCUCCUUAUAGACCUUAAGGUAGUUCAAGUCUCUUCAAAAAAAAAAAAUAGCAUAUUUUCUUUAAUAUAUUUUCUCUUUUUUGGUCAACAAUAUAUUUUCUUUUAAAAUCACUAAUUUAAACGAUUGAAAAAAAACACUUAUUCAAUAUAACAAAACUUUAGAUUAGAUAGGUAACAUGAAAUCCAAUUAGUACAACUAAAAGCUCUACAUCAAAUAUUGAUGAUGAUGCAGAAUCAACUGUCCAAAAAAAUAUAUUUAAUGGGAUGCACUCAAAUUUCUAGGAUAUUAUUCACAUUUUCAUGAAAUAUUUUUAAAAAUAGUACAGAAAUUUACAUAGAUUUUGCUUUGGAUAGGUGAAAACUCUAAACUGAAAUAGAUCCAAAAUGAACUUGACACUUAUUUAUGUUAAAAUUCCCCUUGAUUUGUGGUGUUUCUGGGAUAAAAAUGAUAAUAAUUAAAAACCAAUGUGGGAGCAGAGCUCGAACCCUGGCCUACGAUAACCAGUAAAGUCACAUAACCACAUUGACAGAACAAACUCAUUGCGGGAUCUCUCAAAAUGUAUACAAGUACAUUACAUUAAGCCCAAACUGUUUAAUAUAUUAAGUUAAGCCUAGACGGUGUCUCUCUCUCUGUAUCCCUCUCUCUUUUCUUUUCUGGGGUUUUCUUCUCUCCUUCUACUGCGUUCUUCGUCGUCUCUUUCUAGGUAUCUCUACAUACAUACUGUCUCAGAUUCGUAUUUUGGUUCUCUGAUCUGUUACGAUUCUGAGAUUGAUCACUCUCAAACCUUUAUUUGUAGAUGGCGACUGGCAGAUCCGCAAGUAUGCCGUCACGGUUGCGGCAGCUUCUUUCCGGCGAAGGGUCCAUCGGCCCCUCUAUUAGGCUCGACGCUGAGCCUGUGAGUUGUCUCAAAUUCGAUUUUUAGGGUUUUUUUUAAUUGAUAUUGAUUGAAUUCAAUUAGGGCUUUUUAAUUUGAUUUUGAAAUCCUGUCACAAGCUUUAGCCUUAAUUAGGGUUUAUUAUUGUCAUGUGUUGUAGCCUCCGGAGAUCAAAUCGUUUAUUGAGAAAGUAAUCCAGAGUCCACUCUCUGAUAUUGCGAUACCUCUCUCUGGCUUUCGCUGGGAGUACAGUAAGGUAACCAUAAUAAUAAUACAUAGAAGCCUUUCUCAUAUUAUCCUUUUUUGUUGAUUGAUUGAUUAUUGUUAUUCCAGGGCAACUUCCAUCACUGGAGACCUCUUUUUCUACAUUUUGACAAGUACUUCAAGACGUUUAUAUCAACUAGGAAUGACCUUCUCUUGUCUGAUCACAUUUUGGAAGAUGCGGAUCCCUUUCCCAAGUACUCUGUUCUUCAAAUUCUCCGUGUGAUGCAGAUCAUUCUCGAAAAUUGUCCCAACAAAAGUUCCUUUGAUGGUUUAGAGGUAUGCCUCAUCUGUUUCCCAUAUCUAUCUUAAAGCUCGUUUAACUUUAUUAGUAACUCUUUCCUACAUUGUUUGUUUUUUUGCAGCACUUUAAGCUCCUACUUGCCUCCACAGAUCCAGAGGUUCUCAUUGCUGCCCUGGAAACCCUUUCUGCGCUUGUGAAAAUCAGCUCAUCUAAGCUCCACAGGAGCGGAAAGUUGAUUGGAUGUGGUUCCGUAAACAGCUUCCUUCUCUCUAUUGCCCAGGGCUGGGGUAGCAAAGAGGAGGGUCUGGGUUUGUAUUCCUGCGUUGUCGCUAACGAGAGAAACCAGGAAGAAGGUCUCAGCAUCUUUCCUUCCGACUUGGAAAAUAAUCACAAGGAAGCUGAUUUUCGGAUUGGUUCUACUGUUUAUUUUGAGUUGCGUGGACACAGUGCCCAGAGAAUAGAUGAUGGUAGUAGUAGUGCUACUUCUUCUUCUUCUUCUUCUUCAAGGGUGAUACAGAUUCCUGAUUUGCACUUGCGGAAAGAGGAUGAUCUUGUGUUAAUGAAGGAGUGUAUAGAGCAUUACAAUGUUCCCCCGGAGCUCAGGUUCUCUCUACUGACCCGUGUCAGGUAUGCUCAUGCUUUUCGUUCUUCCAGAAUAUGCCGGAGUUAUAGCAGGAUCUGCCUACUUGCGUUUAUUGUACUUGUUCAGUCAAGUGAUGCCCAAGAAGAACUUGCAUCCUUUUUUGCAAACGAACCUGAGUAUACAAAUGAAUUAAUAAGAAUUGUCAGAUCUGAAGAACCAAUCCCCGGAACCAUUAGAACUCUUGCCAUGCUUGCAUUGGGCGCUCAAUUGGCUGUAUACUCCGCCUCUCAUGAUCGAGCCAGGAUUCUAAGCAGAUCUAGCAUCAGUUUCGCCGUAGGCAACAGAAUGAUUCUGCUUAAUGUGCUUCAGAAAGCCGUUCUCUCUCUGAAGAUUUCUAGUGAUCCAUCAUCUAUUGCUUUUGUUGAGGCGCUACUUCAGUUUUAUUUGCUUCACAUUGUUUCAUCAUCGUCAUCUGGAAGCACUAUAAGGGGGUCUGGCAUGGUUCCCACAUUUCUCCCUCUCUUGGAGUAUACUGAUCCGAGUCACCUGCAUCUUGUGUAUUUGGCCGUUAAAGCACUACAGAAGCUCAUGGAUUAUAGCAGUUCUGCAGUUCCUCUACUCCGGGAUCUUGGGGGAGUAGAACUUUUGUCUCAGAGGUUAGAGUUAGAGGUUCAUCACAUUCUUAAGUUGACUGGAGAGAACAACAGUGAUAUGGUGGUUGGUGAAUCGUUAGAUCUAAAUGGUGAUCAGUUGCUCUCCCGAAAGAGACUCAUCAAGGUUCUUUUGAAGUCUCUUGGUUCUUCUACGUAUACUCCUGGAAAUGCGAAUAGGUCUCAAAGUUCUCAGGAGAGCACGUUGCCUGCCACUUUGUCUUUGAUAUACAGGAAUGCAGAUAAAUUUGGUGGCGAUAUCUAUUACUCAGCUGUGACGGUUAUGAGUGAUUUAAUCCACAAAGACCCCACAUCUCUUACUUCCCUGUUUGAAAUGGGCCUCCCUGAAGCAUUUCUGUCUUCAGUUGUAUCAGGAGUACUUCCUUCUUCCAAGGCUAUUGCAUGCAUUCCAAAUGGCCUGGGUGCAAUAUCUCUUAAUAGCAAAGGUUUGGAGACAGUAAAAGAAACUUCGGCACUGCGCUUCCUUGUUGAUGUCUUUACUUCCAAGAAGUAUGUUCUAGCUAUGAAUGAGGCCAUCGUUCCGUUUACAAAUGCCGUGGAAGAGCUUUUGCGUCAUGUCUCAUCUCUAAGAGCCACCGGUGUUGAAAUAAUCAUUGAAAUUGUGGAUAGAAUUGCAUGCUUUGGAGAGAGUGGUUCUUCAUCAUCCUCUGUAAGUACUGCAAUGGAAAUGGAUUCAGAUGUGAAGAACAUAAAUGGCGUCAGUCAUGAGCAGUUUGUUCAACUCUGCAUCUUUCAUCUGAUAAUUCUGCUCCACAGAACAAUGGAGAAUGCUGAGACUUCUCGUCUCUUUGUGGAGAAGUCUGGCAUUGAGGCGUUACUUAAGCUUCUCUUGCGACCUAGCAUUGCUCAGUCUUCUGAAGGGGUGUCUAUUGCCUUGCACAGCACCAUUGUUUUUAAGGGUUUUACGCAGCAUCACUCUGCUUCUCUUGCUCGGGCCUUUUGCUCUUCUCUUCGUGAUCAGGUGAAGAAAGCUUUAGGAGGACUGCAAGAUCUCUCGGGGACAUUCUUACUUGAUCGAAAACUUUCUCCAAGCUGUGGAAUUUUUUCUUCUCUUUUCCUUGUGGAGUUUCUUCUGUUUCUAGCUGCAUCAAAGGAUAACCGUUGGAUGACUGCAUUGCUUUCGGAGUUUGCAAAUGGAAGCAAGGAUGUUCUGGAGAAUAUAGGCCAGUUGCACCGUGAAAUUCUAUGGCAUAUAGCAGUUUACGAGAGUGGAACGCUGGAAAGUCCAAAUACUUCUCCCGAGUCAGAGCAAACAGAGCUGUCUUCAAAUGGAACGGAAGGACAAAGGUUCAGUUCUUUUAGACAGUUUCUGGAUCCAUUAUUUCAGAGGAGAACGUCAGGAUGGAGCGCAGAAUCGCAAUUCUUUGAUUUAACAAAUCUUUACCGUGAUCUUGGACGUGCAUCGACUGGAUUUCAACCCCGACCAAUCAGUGAUGGUCCCUCUAGUUCAUCAGACGCUUCUGGUAACAGAGAGCUUGAAAGAGAUGGAUCCUAUUAUACAUCAUGCUGUGACAUGGUGAAGUCAUUGUCCUCCCACAUCACAUACAUAUUCCAAGAGUUAGGGAAGGCAAUGCUGCUCCAAUCUCGUCGGAGAGAAGAUACAGUAAAUGUAUCUCCGUCAUCUAAGUUAGUUGCCUCAAGUUUUGCUUCAAUAUCCCUGGAUCACUUGAAUUUUGAAGGCCAUGAGAUUGCAGCUGAGGCAUCAAGGUCAACUAAAUGUCUCUACCUUGGCAAGGUUGUUGACUUCAUCGAUGCUGUCCUUCUUGACAGGCCUGAUUCGUGUAAUCCUGUUCUGAUAAAUUGCUUUUAUGGCCGGGGGGUGAUUCAGACGGUUUUGACAACAUUUGAUGCUACUAGCCAGCUUUUAUUUUCAAUUAAUAGGAGCUACUCAUCUCCGAUGGAGACUGAUGAUGUUAAAGGAAAGCAGGAUGAAAAGGAAGAUACAGAUCAUGCCUGGAUAUAUGGUCCGCUGGCUGGCUACGGGAAGCUCAUGGACCAUUUGGCUACGUCAUCGUUUAUCUUAUCACCAUUCACAAAACGCUUGCUCGUUCAACCAGUAGAAAAUGGGAAUAUUCCAUUUCCACAAGAUGCUGAGACAUUUGUGAAGAUCCUGCAGUCCAUUGUGUUGAAAGCUGUACUUCCGGUUUGGACUCAUCCACUAUUUACGGAAUGUAGUUAUGAUUUCGUCACUGCCCUCAUUUCCAUCAUCAAGCAUGUGUAUUCUGGAGUUGAACUGAAAAGCUUAGCUGGCAGUAGUAGCGCUCGUGUAACAGGUCCACCUCCCAGUGAAACAACCAUUUCAACAAUUGUGGAGAUGGGGUUCUCCAGAUCCAGAGCCGAAGAAGCUUUGAGACAGGUUGGAUCGAACAGUGUUGAGUUAGCCAUGGAAUGGCUGUUUUCCCACCCAGAAGAAAUCCAAGAGGACGAUGAGCUUGCUCGUGCUCUUGCAAUGUCCCUUGGAAAUUCUGAAUCAGAUACAAAGGAGAAUGUUGUAGAUGAAACUCGAGAACAGAUUGAAGCAGAAAUAGUCUCGCUGCCACCAGUUGAAGAGCUUAUAACAACAUGUACGAAGCUUCUGCAGAUGAAAGAGCCCCUUGCUUUUCCCGUUAGAGACUUGCUUGUAUUGAUAUGCUCAGAAAACAAUGGAGAACACCGAUCUGGUGUUAUAUCUUGCCUUCUUAGCCGGAUUAAGGAUUGUUGUCCUGUCUUCGAUGACACAAAGAACAAUCUGCUCUCUGCUCUGUUGCAUGUUCUUGCUUUGAUUCUACAUGAAGACGCAGGUUCCCGCGAAGUUGCGCUGAAGGCGGGUAUUGUAAGACUUGUGUGCGAUGUACUCUCAAAGUGGGAUUCUGGUAGUAUUGAUAAGGAAAAGUUUAAUGUUCCAAAGUGGGUGACGACAGGGUUUCUUGCCAUUGAUAGGCUGCUACAAGUGGACCAGAAAUUAAAUACUGAGCUUAUAGAGGAGUUGCAAAAAGGUGAGACAUCUCUGGCCAUUGAUGAGAGCAAACAAGACAAGCUGCAAUCUGUUUUUGGCUCUCCACAGCUUGUUGAUGCUGACGAUCAGAAGAAGUUGAUUGAGAUUGCUUGUACAUGUAUCCGGAAUCAGCUUCCUUCUGAAACUAUGCAUGCUGUUUUACAACUGUGUUCUACAUUGACAAGGAAGCAUUCUGUUGCUGUCUGCUUUCUUGAUUUUGGAGGUGUGCAAGGACUGCUUUCUCUGCCGAGUAAUAGUCUUUUUCCAGGGUUUGACUCAGUUGCUGCUAGUAUCAUCCGUCAUAUUCUUGAAGACCCCCAAACGCUUCAGCAAGCCAUGGAAUCUGAGAUAAAACAUGCACUUGCAACACUUUCCAACAGGCACUCAAAUCAGAGAAUCUCUCCACGCAAUUUUUUGUUGCAUGUGAAUUCUGUAAUUGCUCGGGAUCCAGUCACUUUUAUCCAGGCCGCUCGUUCUAUAUGCCAAGUAGAGAUGGUUGGUGAAAGACCUUACAUCGUGUUAGUCAAAGAAAAAGAGAAAUCAAAAGACAAAGAGAAGGAUAAGGAUAAGGACAGAGCUGACAAAGAGAAAUCUCAGACUUCUAAUGAAGUUGCAACUACCACUCCCCCUGGGAGCACCAAGGCUAAAGUUUACCGGAAACCUCCUCAGUCGUUCAUUGGUGUUGUUGAGCUGCUUCUGGAUUCUCUCUGUAAUUUCGUUCCUCCUCCAAAAGAUGACAUGGUUGAAGGUGAUUCUACUUCAGCAGACAUGGAUAUUGAUCAUGCCUCUACUAAGGGAAAAGGCAAAGCGGUUGCUACUACACCUGAAGAAAAGAAAGCUAUUUCACAGGACAUGUCAGCUUCAUUGGCUAAAAUUGUUUUCAUUCUGAAGCUUUUGAGCGAGAUACUGUUCAUGUAUUCUUCGUCAAUCCAUAUAAUACUUCGAAGAGAUGCUGAAAUUAACAGUCUUAGA